AAAAAUAAUAGAGAAAACGAGAACUCACCUUGCCGCCUUCUCCAUUCAGAUUUUGCUGAUGCUCGCAAAGGGCGCAAACCUCGCCCAAUAGCUCGUGCGGUUUGAUGAAGAGCCUUGCACUUAGUAAAAAGGCAAAGAGAGCCUGAAACAAGACACCCGGCAUCCUUGAGUACGUGAAACAAGAUACCUCCGAAUGUGUCACCAUUUGUUUUUCCACCCUAAAUGCAAAUGCAAGCUGCACCGUCGCGAAUAUCCUGAUGAUCAGCACCAGCACCAUUGACCAUGCCAGAACCAGGAACGCCACUACCUCCUCCACCUUUUCCACCGACACCACCGGCUGGAGUUUGCGGGCACCGAUCUCGGCUUACGGCACUGUUUAGAGUGAAUUAACCGAGCUUUCGCGACCGCCAGCGGAACCCAGAUUGUACACGUAAAUCGCACCCACAUAGGCGGUACUAGUUUCGUGAUAAAAGCGUUGGAUGAAUUUCAUAUAAAUGUGAAACCCGUUACAAGAUAAUAAAAGAAGAGAAGAGAAGGGAAGAGGAAGAGGAGAAGGAGGAAGAGGAAGUGGAAGAGGAAGAGGAAGAGGAGAAAGAGAGAAAGAGAGCUUGUAGCGUAGGAUUGAUAGUAUUGUCCACAAACGAUUGUGAGCGUAAACAUAACCGUAAAUACAUUCAGAUUCUGUCCACCGUGACGAUGGCGCUUUGCCAACUGGGAAAGUUUUCGAUACAAGACUACAACGGUAUAACGGUACGUCAAAGAGAAGAUAGAGAGGGAAAGAGAAAGAGAAAAAGGGAGGAAUCGUGUGUACAAACCAGUUCUCCUAGGGCUUUCCUAACAAAAUGUAUCGUGGUUUCCGAACCGCAGUCUGGAGUCGUCCGUGGUAAUCGCGGUAUAGCUACAUUGAUUGUUAUUUCAUAAUUGUUGAGGAACCUAAGUACUCGUACAUUAUCGUGAUAUCAGUUCUUCGAUACAACGUAUAAGAUAUAAUUAUUCGCGUUCGACGAAUCGAUAAAUGGAAAUAAUCAUUGAUACCACGAUCUCGAAAAACAGAUGAAUUUUGAAAAAGAAUUAUUAGCUCUCUACAUUUAGUAAUUAAACGUGUUUAUAAAUAAUAUGUUGAUUAAUGGACAUUAUUGCGGAAAAUUUUCAAUGCUUUCCGCAAUAGCGAUUGAAUUAUUUCAACUCUAAUGCAAAGAAUGAAUUAAUAUUCUCCCUGUUGCACUCAUAUCGAGGGUUAAUCAUUAAAUACAACAUGGAUAGCUCUUAUGCCGUGUAAUUAAAUGUUAAUUUCGCAUUGGAAGCUGAAUAACAUAAUAUCAUUGUUUGCCACUUAUGCAUUUCAUCGUUGAAUUCGAGCGAAUUUUUGGAACGUUUCGUUCAAAGACAGAAUUACGUAAAUAUAAAUAAAUCGUGUAAACGGGAAGGAAAUAAAUAAGAUAUAAAUUUCAACGAAUGAGACAUGUGGUAUUACAAAAUUAGAUAUUUUUCAAAGGACGAUAAGAUACUUUUCAAAAAAUUUCAAGCUGCAAAGUUUUCUUUCCGUCGUUGGCAUGAAACGCAUACCACCGGAGAGAAAAUCUUUCAACGUACGAAGCCAGCCAGUGAAGUAAUAAUUUCCACGAAAGUGAGAUACUUUUCCCUGCUCUCUUUUUUCCUCUCUUUCUCUCUUUCAUUUUUCCUUCUUUCGAGCCAUCGUUCGAAGGCUGUGCAAUUUUGCCGGUACUCGCGGUGAGAGAUUUGCAUGGUAAGGGUGCGGUGAGGUAUACUUCCAUUUUAUAAGCUUCUUAAAUUGGCGGUGCGCUGCGCAUUGCCGGUUAGAUGGAAACUCUGCUGCGGACAAAGGGAAUCGCGCGCUAGUGCUUUCGCCGGGAUGAGCAUUCGAGAGGUCGAAGUUCAUUUCGCGACUAAGCUCAGCCAGGGACAGUGUCCUCCGUUCACCACCGAGAUGCUCUAUUGCUGGGAUAAAUGCUAUGGAGAAGCCGAGAGAAAGAGAGAGAGAGAGAGAGAGAAAGAGAGAGAAAGAGAAAAAGAGA